GUGGGGAAUCUUGCGCAAUGGGCGAAAGCCUGACGCAGCCAUGCCGCGUGAAUGAUGAAGGUCUUAGGAUUGUAAAAUUCUUUCACCGGGGACGAUAAUGACGGUACCCGGAGAAGAAGCUCCGGCUAACUUCGUGCCAGCAGCCGCGGUAAUACGAAGGGGGCUAGCGUUGCUCGGAAUUACUGGGCGUAAAGGGCGCGUAGGCGGACAGCUUAGUCAGAGGUGAAAGCCCAGGGCUCAACCUUGGAAUUGCCUUUGAUACUGGCUGUCUUGAGUUUGGGAGAGGUGAGUGGAACUCCGAGUGUAGAGGUGAAAUUCGUAGAUAUUCGGAAGAACACCAGUGGCGAAGGCGACUCACUGGCCCAAUACUGACGCUGAGGCGCGAAAGCGUGGGGAGCGAACGGGAUUAGAAACCCGGGUAGUCC
rnacentral:rRNA from 1 species